GACCUCAGAUCAGACGAGGCU
rnacentral:rRNA from 1 species